UACGAAGGGGGCUAGCGUUGCUCGGAAUCGACUGGGCGUAAAGCGCACGUAGGCGGAUUGUUAAGUCAGGGGUGAAAUCCUGGAGCUCAACUCCAGAACUGCCUUUGAUACUGGCGAUCUUGAGUCCGGGAGAGGUGAGUGGAACUGCGAGUGUAGAGGUGAAAUUCGUAGAUAUUCGCAAGAACACCAGUGGCGAAGGCGGCUCACUGGCCCGGUACUGACGCUGAGGUGCGAAAGCGUGGGGAGCAACAGG
rnacentral:rRNA from 1 species